rnacentral:lncRNA from 1 species
UACGAUCGCCGCAGAAGGAUGGUCCAACCAGUUUAAUUUUAUUAUGGGAGUGAUUUUAUGUUAUUUGGGUUUAUUAGGGUAUUUUGUUGUUUGACAGCCUUUAGGGCUUAUUUUGGUAUUUUAUUAUUUUGAGGAUCUUUUGUGAGGCUUCAUAGCUUUAGGGUUUUUGGGCAUUUUUGGGUCUAUAAAUAUGUUAGAAGGUAUAUCGUUUAGGAUUAUGCUAUGAAGAAAAUAAAAAUUGAUUCUCUUUCUUCAAGCUCUGGCGUGUGAAACUCUGAGUGGAGCUAGAUGCGAAGCCUAGUUCUUCAACCCUCUUUCUCCCUCCUCUCUUCUUCUUCCCUAUUUCUCCUCUCUCCCUUUUCUCUCUUCCUUUCUCUUCCUGCUGUCCUGCAUCAAUCUUUUCAUAUGCUCUAAGAAAAUGUAAAGAAUGCACUAUGCUUAUGACAUAAUUAUCGUCCAUUAUUGCCGCUACUUAAAUAAUCAAGGGGGUUAAUGAAAGAAAGAAAUCUAUCAUUUACAUGAAGAUGCCAAAGUUAACUGACAAAUGCAGAAAUACAUUACACAGUAACCCAAAAUUGGAAGUAAGUAGUUCAAUUAUUUGGCAAAUUCAACAAGCCAAUACGUACAAAACUUNNN